CCCCACGCCUUUCUUUUCGAGGAAGACACGGUCACGGGUUUGGCGGAGGCGUGCAGUGCCCGCUUCUGCUCCUGACUCACCGCUGUUCGCUCUCGCCGAGGAACAAGUCGGUCAGGAAGCCGCGCUGCAGCCAUGGCUUUUAAAGAUACCGGGAAAACACCUGUGGAGCCAGAGGUGGCGAUUCACCGAAU